CUACGGGCCGCUGCAGUAAGGAAUAUUGCGCAAUGGAGGCAACUCUGACGCAGCCAUGCCGCGUGCAGGAAGAAGGCCUUAUGGGUCGUAAACUGCUUUUAUUUAGGAAUAAACCCCCGAACGUGUUCGGGGCUGAAGGUACUAAACGAAUAAGCACCGGCUAACUACGUGCCAGCAGCCGCGGUAAUACGGAGGGUGCAAGCGUUAUCCGGAUUUAUUGGGUGUAAAGGGUGCGCAGGCGGGCUAUUAAGUCGUGGUGAAAUCCCGGGGCUCAACUCCGGAACUGCCAUUGAUACUGAUAGUCUUGAGUUUGGUUGAAGUGGGCGGAAUGUAGCAUGUAGCGGUGAAAUGCAUAGAUAUGCUACAGAACACCAAUCGCGAAGGCAGCUCACUAAGCCAAAACUGACGCUCAUGCACGAAAGCGUGGGGAUCAAACAGGAUUAGAUACCCCUGUAGUC
rnacentral:rRNA from 1 species